UAUACUAUACCUUACAAAAAUAUAUUAUAAAAUACAAUAUAUGAUAAAAUAAUAUAUUAUAUAAAAUAAAUAUAUUAUAUUAUACAUAUACUUAUUUUUACUAUAAAAGUUAAAUUUAUAAGCUUACUUGUUAUAAAAAU
rnacentral:misc_RNA from 2 species